rnacentral:rRNA from 1 species
GAUGAACGCUGGCGGCGUGCUUAACACAUGCAAGUCGAACGGAAAGGCCCGGCUUUUGUUGGUUGCUCGAUUGGCGAACGCGGGAGUAACACGUGUGUAUCCUGCCCUUGACUGUGGGAUAACUUCUGGAAACUGGGGCGAAUACCCCAUAUGAUCUCCUGCUGCGUGUGGUGGGUUGGAAAGUGUCGGCGGUUGUGGAUGGACUCGCUGCUUACCAGCUUGAUUGUGGGGUAGUGGCUUACCAAGGCUUUGACGGGUAGCCGGCCUGAGAGGUGGGACGGGGACCUUGGGACUGAGAUAGGGAGCAGAAUCGUAUGGGCCGCAGUGGUGGGGAGUCUUGCACAAUGAGCGGAAGCGUGAUGUAGAGAUCCCGGGUGCGGGAUGCCGUCUUACGGGUUGUAAACAGCUUUCGAAGGAGACGAAGAGUUAGUGACGGUAAUGGGUCAAGAAGCCACGGCUAACUACGUG